AUUGAACGCUGGCGGCAGGCCUAACACAUGCAAGUCGAACGAGUGGCGGACGGGUGAGUAAUGUCUGGGAAACUGCCUGAUGGAGGGGGAUAACUACUGGAAACAGUAGCUAAUACCGCCAACCUUCAGAUUUGGCCAGAUGGGAUUUGUUUGUUGGUGGGUAAACGGUUCACAAAGGCGAAGAUCCCUAUCUGGUGUGAGAGGAUGACCAGCCACACUGGAACUGGGACACGGUCCAGAUUCGUACGGAGGGGAGCAUGGGGAAAUAUUGGAAAAGGGGCGAAAGCCGGAUGCAGCCAUGCCGCGUGUAUUAAGAAGGCCUUCGGGUUGUAAAGUACGUUCAGCGGGGAGGCGUUACCCGCAGAAGAAGCACCGGCUAACUCCGUGCCAGCCGCCGCUGUAAUUC
rnacentral:rRNA from 1 species